rnacentral:misc_RNA from 1 species
UCAUACAACCGAGGCGUGAGGGCUAUAUAGCCCGAGCGUUCUCACUGUUAUCCACUUCACCCUUGUGCAUCACCGCGUGGUGCUCCCUUUGGCUCGUUUCAAAGGGGCCCAUGUUUUUUUUUUCACACAAACACCCCUUUAAAAGAGUUUAGAAUGUUCUUUGCGAUAAUACGCAAUCAAUA